CGGAGCAGUGUCGGCGGUGACUCCUGGCUGCGCAGGCCUGGAGUCUGGACUCAUGGAAUGGCCGCAGGAAGUCGGCUGUAGUACUGGUCGAUCCGGGAGUCCUGGCUGGGUACGCAGUUUAUCUGGAGACACACUAGAGAUACUACUGAGACACCAUGGAUUGGCUCAUGAUGAAGAGGCAAUUUGAGAAGAAGGCAUAAUGAGGAUCAGGAGAGGCAAGAUACAGUUCAGUUCAGAAGAACCAAACAUUUCAACAGAGGUUUUUUCUAGUUUGUGGAGAUUCUAAGCUCAGAGAGUUUGGAUAGGGGUCUUCAAAUUGUUAGAACGUGGAAGUUUAGGCCAUCUGAAUUGAAGAAGUUUCAUACCCAGGAAUCAUACAAUGGUCUCUACUGUUCAAAAAUAAAGAAACUGGAACAUGUCAAGGAAGUAAAGUUAUUAAAAGCUGAGACAGAAGUGAUAUUUCUCAUGGCUUACAUCUCUGUAAUGGAUGCAGUUGGGAAUCAGAUAGCACCUUCCAAAUACAUGACUACUUCCAUCUUGAAGGACUAGAGCAGCAGAUACAUGGGAACA